GCAUUAAUGGGGUAGUGGUAACCUGGGUCGUUGCCAUGUAGCGUCGACGCGUCUUGUCGUCUCGACCCGCCGGGGGUUCGAUUCCCACUUAAUGCA